rnacentral:snoRNA from 1 species
AUCCUUCUGGUUCAUGAAAAUGAUGAAUGGGGUUUUCACGCUAGCACUGCGUGAGAUGUGCAGCCUUUUUUCUUGUUACGCUUUGCACAUUACCCAUCUGAUC